GAUGAAGAACGUAGCGAACUGCGAUAAGUAAUGUGAAUUGCAGAAUUCAGUGAAUCAUCGAGUCUUUGAACGCACAUUGCGCCCCCUGGCAUUCCGGGGGGCAUGCCUGUCCGAGCGUCAUUGCUGCCCUUCAAGCCCGGCUUGUGUGUUGGGUCGUCGUCCCCCCCGGGGGACGGGCCCGAAAGGCAGCGGCGGCACCGCGUCCGGUCCUCGAGCGUAUGGGGCUUUGUCACCCGCUCGAUUAGGGCCGGCCGGGCGCCAGCCGGCGUCUCCAACCUUCUAUUUUACCAGGUUGACCUCGGAUCAGGAAGGGAUACCCGCUGAACUUAAGCAUAUCAAUAAGCGGAGGA
rnacentral:misc_RNA from 1 species